GACGAACGCUGGCGGCGUGCUUAACACAUGCAAGUCGAACGGAAAGGCCCUGCUUUUGUGGGGUGCUCGAGUGGCGAACGGGUGAGUAACACGUGAGUAACCUGCCCUUGACUUUGGGAUAACUUCAGGAAACUGGGGCUAAUACCGGAUAGGAGCUCCUGCUGCAUGGUGGGGGUUGGAAAGUUUCGGCGGUUGGGGAUGGACUCGCGGCUUAUCAGCUUGUUGGUGGGGUAGUGGCUUACCAAGGCUUUGACGGGUAGCCGGCCUGAGAGGGUGACCGGCCACAUUGGGACUGAGAUACGGCCCAGACUGCUACGGGAGGCAGCAGUGGGGAAUAGUGCACAAUGAGCGGAAGCCUGAUGCAGCAACGCCGCGUGCGGGAUGACGGCCUUCGGGUUGUAAACCGCUUUCGCCUGUGACGAAGCGUGAGUGACGGUAAUGGGUAAAGAAGCACCGGCUAACUACGUG
rnacentral:rRNA from 1 species